GUCAUCUCCAUGACCUCCAUGGAGUGAUAUCUACGCAGCCGUGUCAAUGAUCUUAGUUGUGUAGUCAGAGAUGUGAAAUACGCGUGUGGUGUGGUAUAUUAUGAGAGUCUUUGAAGUUAAGGGAACGUGUAUUUGUAUUUAGGAGAUUUUGGCUUGCAGCAUAGUCGCUGAUGUUGAUGUUUAGUGGAAGGUAGCGCAGUGCUGUCAGCUUCGAAAUGAUUCAGUCACUUUGGAAAUUUAUCAGUUAUUGGUAUUUCAGAUAUUUAAUGGUGACUGAAUUGUACAUGGUAGAGAGGUGGGAGAGAGCAGUCAUAAAUGUUGCCAUACUUGUGGUAUUUCUAAUGCUAUCAUAUUUCAAUUAUGCUGUUCUGCUUUAUGCCACAUCAUCAAUUGUGAGAUACACUUUAGUUUAAUGCUCGGACAUAUGCACAGUGCUGCCUUUUUAUUUUGUGUUAUAAGCAUAGUGUCUCAACAUGAAAGUGGGAUAUCAGUUUACACAAAAUUAUAAAGGUCACUGAAAUUUAUUUUCAGUUGUGUAUCCCACGACAAACUACAUGCAUUCCAUACAGUACACGAUAGUCUGAGUAGCCUAUGUCAUUUAUCUUGGUGUACUGUUUAGUUGAAAAGGAAGCUCUGCGAGAAAUUCAGAAUUCUAAAAUUUAUUACUAUGUUAUGAAAGAAAUGUGUAUUUUGCAAUAUGCUACUUAUUAAUAAUAAACAAUGGACUUUUAUAUA